UGGGGAAUAUUGCACAAUGGAGGGAACUCUGAUGCAGCGACGCCGCGUGAACGAAGAAGGCUUUCGAGUCGUAAAGUUCUUUUAUAUGGGAAGAUAAUGACGGUACCAUAAGAAAAAGCCCCGGCUAACUACGUGCCAGCAGCCGCGGUAAUACGUAGGGGGCUAGCGUUGUCCGGAAUCACUGGGCGUAAAGGGUUCGCAGGCGGAAAUGCAAGUCAGGUGUAAAAGGCAGUAGCUUAACUACUGUAAGCAUUUGAAACUGCAUAUCUUGAGAAGAGUAGAGGUAAGUGGAAUUUUUAGUGUAGCGGUGAAAUGCGUAGAUAUUAAAAAGGAUGCCGGUGGCGAAGGCGACUUGCUGGGCUCAUUCUGACGCUGAGGAACGAAAGCGUGGGUAGCAAACAGG
rnacentral:rRNA from 1 species